rnacentral:rRNA from 1 species
UACGGGGGGGGCAAGCGUUGUUCGGAAUUACUGGGCGUAAAGGGCGCGUAGGCGGCCCGCUGCGUCCCGCGUGAAAUCGCCCGGCUCAACUGGGCGGGGUCGCGGGAUACGAGCGGGCUUGAGCUCGGUAGGGGGCCAUGGAAUUCCCGGUGUAGCAGUGAAAUGCGUAGAGAUCGGGAGGAACAUCAGUUGCGAAGGCGGCUCUCUGGACCAGUACUGACGCUGAGGCACGAAAGCGUGGGGAGCAAACAGG